rnacentral:rRNA from 2 species
GUCGAGCGGACUUUUAAAGCUUGCUUUUAAAAGUUAGCGGCGGACGGGUGAGUAACACGUGGGUAACCUGCCUGUAAGACUGGGAUAACUCCGGGAAACCGGGGCUAAUACCGGAUAACUUUUUUCCUCGCAUGAGGAAAAAUUGAAAGAUGGCUUCGGCUAUCACUUACAGAUGGACCCGCGGCGCAUUAGCUAGUUGGUGAGGUAACGGCUCACCAAGGCAACGAUGCGUAGCCGACCUGAGAGGGUGAUCGGCCACACUGGGACUGAGACACGGCCCAGACUCCUACGGGAGGCAGCAGUAGGGAAUCUUCCGCAAUGGACGAAAGUCUGACGGAGCAACGCCGCGUGAGUGAUGAAGGUCUUCGGAUCGUAAAACUCUGUUGUUAGAGAAGAACAAGUACCGUUCGAAUAGGGCGGUACCUUGACGGUACCUAACCAGAAAGCCACGGCUAACUACGUGCCAGCAGCCGCGGUAAUACGUAGGUGGCAAGCGUUGUCCGGAAUUAUUGGGCGUAAAGCGCGCGCAGGCGGUUUCUUAAGUCUGAUGUGAAAGCCCACGGCUCAACCGUGGAGGGUCAUUGGAAACUGGGAGACUUGAGUGCAGAAGAGGAGAGUGGAAUUCCACGUGUAGCGGUGAAAUGCGUAGAGAUGUGGAGGAACACCAGUGGCGAAGGCGACUCUCUGGUCUGUAACUGACGCUGAGGCGCGAAAGCGUGGGGAGCGAACAGGAUUAGAUACCCUGGUAGUCCACGCCGUAAACGAUGAGUGCUAAGUGUUAGAGGGUUUCCGCCCUUUAGUGCUGCAGCUAACGCAUUAAGCACUCCGCCUGGGGAGUACGGCCGCAAGGCUGAAACUCAAAGGAAUUGACGGGGGCCCGCACAAGCGGUGGAGCAUGUGGUUUAAUUCGAAGCAACGCGAAGAACCUUACCAGGUCUUGACAUCCUCUGACAACCCUAGAGAUAGGGCUUUCCCCUUCGGGGGACAGAGUGACAGGUGGUGCAUGGUUGUCGUCAGCUCGUGUCGUGAGAUGUUUGGGUUAAGUCCCGCAACGAGCGCAACCCUUGACCUUAGUUGCCAGCAUUCAGUU